rnacentral:lncRNA from 1 species
CAAGAUCUUGUAGGGAUAGGAACAUUCCAGGCAGAGGGAACAGCAUGUGCAAAGGUAUGGAGGCCAGAAGGCAGAUGAGGAACUUGAGAAAGAGCCUGUUCAAUGUGGCUAGAGCACAGAGUGCAUGACAGCAAGUGGUGAAAGAUGAAGUGGGAAAGAAAGGCCUCUCUGCUAGUCUGAGAACCUUAUGAUCACCUCUGCUUCUUUAUGCACUGCCUACCUCUCUAAACAGACCGCAUGGGCCUUGAGGGGCGGGACUGUGUUGCUGCUGCUGCCUUGUCACUGUCUCAUAGCUCCAGGCUCAGCGCUGUAGGGGCAGUAGCCAAAGGAAGAGCCCAGGCCUGGCUGGGCUAGCAGGCAGGUCCUCCUGGAGCCAAAACAGAUCCUCCCACGUGAAGUUUGAAAGGAAGCAUCUUGCAGCUCCGUCUAAUUACAGGAAAGUUCCAAGUUCUGAUCUCCCCUUCCCUACCUCUUUUCUUGACGUCUCUGGAACAAGCUAUCUGAAAGGAGAAAUAGUCACAUCACAAUUUUUUUUUUCUGGGCUCAUGUGAAUAUUGUUUCAGGGACAAGAAGAAAAAAAAAUUUGUCUUCUCUAUUUCCUUAAGAAGGUCAGCAAGAUGGAACAGUUGCAUUUCAUAUGCAGCCUCUCGAAGGACAUUCAUUUUCUCCAGCAGAGCCCCAGGGUGGACAAGGAGGGCCAGCUGUGUGCAGCGUCUGUUGUGUACAGCAUUCAGGACAAUGUCCUCUUGGAUCCCGAGCUCUCCACACAGACAGAGCAGAUAAAGGAAGGUCCCUCUCCUGGUCUUCCUUCCAGGGAGGCUGUUGCUGAGAGAGGUUAAGGGACCUCCCAGAGUCCUCCUCAGGUGGGAGCGGAAGGUUGGCAUUGCUGACCUCCCAUAAGCUUUUACCUGAACUUGGGCUCUGCCUGUCUUUGUUCUGAGGAAUGAGACUGCAAAGAAGCUCCCGAUCUGAAAAGGUGGCAUUUGCUAAGUUAGAAAAUGGAAGUACCACCCAGUCUGGGGGAUCCCAUAGGCACCCAAGAGUGCACCAAGCCACUAGGACCAAGCUCACCUGAGAGUCCCACCCUGCUCGGAAUAUGCAGACUUGGUGUCCUGUCGCUUUAAAGCACUCCAUGCCUGGAAAUGCCACGGCCCACAUGGAAUGGGCACAGCCAACAACUCUCCAAGGAGCCCCAGCAAUGAAUGAUGAGCAUCUCCCCUGAACCCAUCUCCCCAUGUCCGGUGUUUAAAGUGAAUUGAAAUGAAUAUCUGAUAAAUGAAUAAACCUGUAAAUGGAAUCAAAAACCUUAUGAACUUGAAGGAGAAAUAGGAGUCCCAGGUCUGUUAAGUCUAAAUUGAAUAAAUCUGAUCAACUGCCUGACAAUUUCUGCCAACAGCUUUUGAAGAGGAAGAAAAGGGGUGAGCAGAGAAAUUGGGUAGAGGAGAGGGAAGAGCGAGUGGGGUAGGGGAGGCAGGCAUGACUCAGUAAUGAAGCUAUCACCAGGAGUCCCCAGUGUUCCUUACCUGGACUAAUAAAUGGAUGACAAUAGGAGUUCCUUGCAAGUCUGUCUGCUCCUGUGUGUCUGCCCAGAGGACACCUCUAGAGAAUGAGAGAUUUGCAUAAAAUGGGGCCAAAGUCUCCUUUUGGGCCUUGCUGGACAAGGAGCUGAGGAAGAACUCUGGAGUCCUGGAAUCAGCUACUGGGCCUAGAUGAUCUCACCUGCUAGGAUGGGUCUGUAUGUUUGGGUAGCUUGAGCUGGAGGCAGGGAGGUCACAUUGAGGAUGCGCUCAAUGGCUCUCGAUUUGGCCUCUGCCACUCUUUGUUCUGUUGGGUAACUUACUUCCUGCAGUGGUUUUAAACAUGGCCACAGACUUCUUUAACACUCAUCUUAGUGAGAGGUGGUGGUGGUGGAUCUGUGUCUUCUUCUCUUGAAUCUAGGUGGCUUUGUGACUCCACUAAUACAGAACAGUGGCAUUGAUGCUGUCUGACUUUCCAGGCUGGGCUGGAAAAGGUUGUGCAACUUCUGCCUGAGUUUCUUGGGACACUGUCAUUGGGGGAAAACAGCCCCUAUGUAGGAAAUCCAAUUGCCCUGAGAGUGCCAUGCUGGAGAGGUGUUCCUGUUCAAGGCCAUGCCCCACUGAGCUCCCGGCCAGUGGCCAGGCUGGCCGUGGGGAAUGAACCCCGUGAGCCACUCAGUCUCGCCCAGCCUUCAGAUGACUGCAGUUCCAGCCCAUGUGUGACUGCAGCAGCUAAGUCACAGCUGCCUCGUCAAACUCUCCCCAAAUUUUUGACCUGCAAAAGUACAAACGCUAUAAAAUUAUUGUUUUAAGCUACUAAUUCAGGAGUAAUUUGUUAAUAGCAACCAAAACACACCCCUUCUUGGGUUUCAAUUUUUUUUCUGAACCAUGAAGGGUUAGACUAGAUAAUUUUUAAAACCAUACUUUGAAAGUUUUAAAUAGUAGAUGAACUUUUUUCAAUUGUUUUUAUUGUAGUAAAAUAUACAUAAAAUUUACCAUCUUAAACAUUUUUAAGUGUACGGUUCAGUGGUAUUAAAUAUAUUCACAAUGUUGUGUAACCAUCAUCACCAUCCAUCUCCGUAACUCAUUUCGUCCUGCAAAACUGAAACUCUGUACACAUUAAACAAUAACUCCGUCUUCCCCUUUCUCCUCCAGCCCCUGACAUCCACCAUUCUACUUUCUGCCUCUAUGAUUUAGACUACUCUAGGUAUCUCACAUAAGUGGAAUCAUACAAUGUUUGCCUUUUGGGCCUGGUUUAUUUCACUCAGCAUAAUGUUUUCAUGGUUCAUCCAGGUUGUAGUAUGUACCAGGAUUUCUUUCCUUUUUAAGACUGGAUAAUAUUUCAUUGUAUGUAUAUACAACAUUUUGCUUAUCCAUUCAUUUGUUGAUAGACACUUUUGUUUUUGCCAUGUUUUAGCUAUUGUGCAUUAAUGCUGGUGUGAACAGGAGUGUACAAAUGGAAAGAACCUGCUUCCAAUUAUGUCAAAUAGAUACCCAGAAGUGGAAUUGCUGAUUUACAUGGUGAAGACCUCCCUCCUGUGACCUCACCCCUCCUCCUUCCCUGUGCUUCUCCACACAGCCUGCCUUCCCACACAGGAAUCCAG